AGAGUUUGAUCCUGGCUCAGAGCGAACGCUGGCGGCAGGCUUAACACAUGCAAGUCGAGCGCCCCGCAAGGGGAGCGGCAGACGGGUGAGUAACACGUGGGAACGUACCCUUCAGUUCGGAACAACCCAGGGAAACUUGGGCUAAUACCGGAUACGUCCGUAAGGAGAAAGAUUUAUCGCUGAAGGAUCGGCCCGCGUCUGAUUAGCUAGUUGGUGAGGUAAUGGCUCACCAAGGCUACGAUCAGUAGCUGGUCUGAGAGGAUGAUCAGCCACAUUGGGACUGAGACACGGCCCAAACUCCUACGGGAGGCAGCAGUGGGGAAUAUUGGACAAUGGGGGCAACCCUGAUCCAGCCAUGCCGCGUGAGUGAUGAAGGCCCUAGGGUUGUAAAGCUCUUUUAGCGGGGAAGAUAAUGACGGUACCCGCAGAAAAAGCCCCGGCUAACUUCGUGCCAGCAGCCGCGGUAAUACGAAGGGGGCUAGCGUUGCUCGGAAUCACUGGGCGUAUAGCGCACGUAGGCGGCUUCUUAAGUCAGGGGUGAAAUCCUGGAGCUCAACUCCAGAACUGCCUUUGAUACUGAGGAGCUUGAGUCCGGGAGAGGUGAGUGGAACUGCGAGUGUAGAGGUGAAAUUCGUAGAUAUUCGCAAGAACACCAGUGGCGAAGGCGGCUCACUGGCCCGGUACUGACGCUGAGGUGCGAAAGCGUGGGGAGCAAACAGGAUUAGAUACCCUGGUAGUCCACGCCGUAAACGAUGGAUGCUAGCCGUUGGCGAGCUUGCUCGUCAGUGGCGCAGCUAACGCUUUAAGCAUCCCGCCUGGGGAGUACGGUCGCAAGAUUAAAACUCAAAGGAAUUGACGG
rnacentral:rRNA from 1 species